GCGGACCAAAUGGAGGAGAGAGAUUCAGAAUGUCCUCACCCAAAUCGAGGAGGAAUCCUCCAACCAAGAUCUCUCUGCAAUUCUGGUCAUGAUGGCACAUUUCAAGGAAAAAGAAGAGGCUCUUUUUCUUUUGGCUGAUGACUGCAACCAAGGAUGACAUUGAGGCUCAACUGACCCUACCACACACACCAAGGCUCAUCAUGUUAGGGGACCCUUUUACUUUCACAUAAUUACAGAAGAUUUACUGUUGUGAUUUGAUGUUGUGACCUCACUACUUGUGAUUUUGUAUUUGAAUCUGUCAUAAACUGUCCAAUGUAAUCUGUCAUAAACUGUUGUAUUUAUAUCUGUCAUGAACUGUUAUAUUUAUAUCUGUUAUGAACUGUCCUAUUUUACCAUGUUUUUCAUAUUGAACUUAAUAUUGA